rnacentral:rRNA from 1 species
UACGUAGGGUGCGAGCGUUGCCCGGAUUUAUUGGGCGUAAAGAGCUCGUAGGCGGUGUGUCGCGUCGGCCGUGAAAACCUGCAGCUUAACUGUGGGCUUGCGGUCGAUACGGGCAUCACUGGAGUUCGGCAGGGGAGACUGGAAUUCCUGGUGUAGCGGUGAAAUGCGCAGAUAUCAGGAGGAACACCGGUGGCGAAGGCGGGUCUCUGGACAGUUCCUGACACUGAGGCACGAAGGCCAGGGGAGCAAACGGG